rnacentral:rRNA from 1 species
GACGAACGCUGGCGGCGUGCUUAACACAUGCAAGUCGAACGGAAAGGCCCUGCUUUUGUGGGGUGCUCGAGUGGCGAACGGGUGAGUAACACGUGAGUAACCUGCCCUUGACUUUGGGAUAACUUCAGGAAACUGGGGCUAAUACCGGAUAGGAGCUCCUGCUGCAUGGUGGGGGUUGGAAAGUUUCGGCGGUUGGGGAUGGACUCGCGGCUUAUCAGCUUGUUGGUGGGGUAGUGGCUUACCAAGGCUUUGACGGGUAGCCGGCCUGAGAGGGGGACCGGCCACAUUGGUACUGAGAUACGGCCCAGACUCCUACGGGAGGCAGCAGUGGGGAAUAUGGCACAAUGGGGGGAAGCCUGAUGCGGCAACGCCGCGUGCGGGAUGACGGCCUUCGGGUUGUAAACCGCUUUCGCCUGUGACGAAGCGUGAGUGACGGUAAUGGGUAAAGAAGCACCGGCUAACUACGUG